GUCCUCAUUUCAGCAGUACAUAUACUAAAAUUAGAAUGAUACAGAGAAGAUUAGCAUGGCCCUGUACAAGGAUGAUAUGCAAAUUCAUGAAGCAUUAUAAAAUAAU
ensembl:snRNA U6 U6 spliceosomal RNA